AAACCGGAUUUUCUAAAAUCCACCCACACAACCAAAGAAUCAUUC
rfam:Phaeodactylum tricornutum CCAP 1055/1 chromosome 6, whole genome shotgun sequence.